rnacentral:rRNA from 1 species
UACGAAGGGGGCUAGCGUUGUUCGGAAUUACUGGGCGUAAAGCGCGCGCAGGCGGCUAUCCAAGUCAGUGGUGAAAGCCCGGAGCUCAACUCCGGAACUGCCAUUGAAACUGUUUAGCUGGAGUAUGAGAGAGGUGAGUGGAAUUCCCAGUGUAGAGGUGAAAUUCGUAGAUAUUGGGAAGAACACCGGUGGCGAAGGCGGCUCACUGGCUCAUUACUGACGCUCAGGCGCGACAGCGUGGGGAUCAAACAGGAUUAGAUACCCUGGUAGUCCACGCCGUAAACGAUGAAUGCUAGCCGUUGGAUAGCUUGCUAUUCAGUGGCGCAGCUAACGCAUUAAGCAUUCCGCCUGGGGAGUACGGCCGCAAGGUUGAA